AACCUGAACUGUAGCGACAGUAGCAUAAUUUAUUUUCUAUUUAAAGGGAGGCCAUUCCAUGUUAAGAGGCACCCUUAGUUUUCACAAGCAUAGAGAGUUUUAGAGAGCAUCUGGGCAAGUAUUCUGAGGUUCUCUUUGUAAGCUUUCUGCAAUCUUUCUUUCAAUCUUAAUACAAUCGAUCUUGUUUUCAAUUUUUUCUCUCCUCUCUUU
rnacentral:lncRNA from 1 species